AUUUCUAUUUUUAAAUUCCCUGCUUUUAGCUUCCAGCUGUCACUUAGAGCUCUUGGGUUCAGUAGUGGAGCUUUUCCCCCCACUCAGACUCUCAGACUGAAACCAUCUCACCAUCCUCCAAGAGGAAAGCUCUUCUUCCCCCAGCUCCUGCAGCCUCUGAGCCCUGCACCCUGCUGCUGCCCAAAUUAUUGCCUUCCAAACAAUUUAAGGGGAAUUCUUUUAUAUCCAGAAAUUAAUUCAGGGCAGCAAUUCGCUGGCACAGGGGAUCCGCCUCCUGCCCCGCUCCACUUCUCCAGCUGGAAUGGUUUCCCCGCGGCCCUGGAGCAGCACAAACACCGCUGGAACGGUCCGGUCCCCGGGGAAUGGCUCGUCCGGGCCGAAGCAGCCCUUUCCACGAAAAGCCUUGGCUGGAGCCGUGUUUGCCAUCCGUGCCCGUCUCCUCCAUCCAGGCUGGGAGCGCUGGGAUGGAGCAGGAAAGGAGCCCCCGUGACACUCAACCUGCUCACCCGUUCCAAAAUAUUACACACGGACAGGAGCUUGCGCCUCCAGGGAUUCCCUGGGAUUAAAAAGCACCCAGGCACUGGACACCGGGCUUUUUCCCUAAUUUCCCAAUUUCCCAGAGUCCCUUCCUGGGUACAAGGGACGCCCCCAGCCCUAGAGCCGAUUGGGGCUCCAGUUUCACAUCCAUAAAUAAAUGCCAAAGUGAGCUCCGGUGGCUGAAGGGUUCCCCCCUAGCCCAGCCCGUGCAGUCUCCAGACACAAAUAAAUCCAUGGAGACAAAGGGAGCA
rnacentral:lncRNA from 1 species